rnacentral:misc_RNA from 1 species
UGGGUUCACAAAGGUUGAAGACAACCGCUAUUCAAUGAAGAUCUUCUUUGAAAUAAGAAAGCAAAAAUAUCUUGAAGCUCUUGACAAGCACGAUCGAGUAAAAGCAGUUGAAAUUCUUGUGAAGGACCUUAAGGUUUUUGCUUCUUUUAAUGAAGAUCUCUUCAAAGAGAUCACCCAGUUAUUGACUCUUGACAAUUUUAGGCAGAACGAGCAGCUCUCCAAAUAUGGGGAUACAAAGUCGGCGAGAAACAUUAUGCUGGUAGAACUAAAAAAGCUUAUCGAGGCAAACCCUCUGUUCCGUGACAAGUUAGCUUUUCCCUCUUUCAAAGCUUCACGACUGCGGACAUUGAUUAAUCAAAGUCUUAACUGGCAGCAUCAGCUAUGCAAGAAUCCACGUCCAAAUCCUGAUAUUAAAACACUUUUUACUGAUCAUACUUGUGCUUCUAGCAAUGGAACUCGGCCUCCUCCUCCUGUAAAUACGCCUCUUGCUGGACCAG